AUUUUAAAUAGCUGCCGUAUAAAUAACUGUACAAAGGUAGCAUAAUAAUUAGUUUUUUAAUUGAAAACUAGAAUGAAUGAUUUAAUGAAAAAAUUACUGUCUCAAUUUAAAAAAAUAAAAUUUUUCUUUAAGUAAAAAAACUUAAAUUAAAUUAAAAGACGAGAAGACCCUAUAGAAUUUUAUAUAUAAAUAUUUAAUUUUAAAAUUUAUAUAUUUAUAUAUUUAAUUGGGGAGAUUUUAAAAUUAAAUAAACUUUUAAUUAAAUUUAACAUUAAUUUAUGAAAAUUAUAUAUUUAUUAAAAAAUUUAAACUAAAUUACCUUAGGGAUAACAGCAUUAUUUUUUUUUUAAGUUCAAAUUUAUAAAAAAGUUUAU
rnacentral:rRNA from 1 species